CCUACGGGUGGCAGCAGUAGGGAAUCUUUCACAAUGGGCGAAAGCCUGAUGGAGCAACGCCGCGUGCAGGAUGAAGGCCUUCGGGUUGUAAACUGCUUUUAUAAGCGAGAAAUAUGAUGGUAACUUAUGAAUAAGGAUCGGCUAACUACGUGACAGCAGCCGCGGUCAUACGUAGGAUCCGAGCAUUAUCCGGAGUGACUGGGUGUUAAGAGUUGCGUAGGGGGCAUAAUAAGUAGCUAGUGAAAUCUGGUGGCUCAACCCCCGGACUGCUGUGGAAACUGUUCGGCUGGAGUGCAGGAGAGGUACGUGGAAUUCGUGGUGUAGCGGUGAAAUGCGUAGAUAUUAGGAGGAACACCAGUGGCGAAGGCAGCUUACUGGACUGUAACUGACGUUGAGGCUCGAAAGCGUGGGGAGCAAACAGGAUUAGAUACCCGAGUAGUC
rnacentral:rRNA from 1 species